GCAUUCAGAUACACCCUGGAUUAUAUAUAAGAUGCUAAAUUGAAGUCUUGAUGUCCUCCAGCUUCCAUUUACUAGACCAGGGGCAGUGGCCAGGAAUGAACCCUAUGGAGCAUCAUCCUUGGAACCAGGUCACUUGAUGAACACAGUCUGUAGCUUCAAUGACUGGCUUAAGAACUGUUACUCGGGAGAGGAACAAUAGCCAGAGGUGGGCUAGGAGGGCAAGGAGGAUGCUUAAUGCAGACAAACACCAGCCACAUCUCAAGCCCAACUUAACCUGGAACAGCAACAAGAAAGGGAGCCAGCAGGGUGGAGAGACACCCCCGCCCCAGCACACUUCUCCCACAGAAAUUGUCCGAGCUAACGCCUUUCAUAAGAGCAGAGGAACUGCAGCGCCUCUGCACCUCCCACCAAGUCACAGGGCAUCCAUUGUCCGAUCCGUUCGUGACUCCGGGGGUCAUGUCGGCAGCACUGACGCUGCCUCCCUGCUCUGACUAACCCCACUGGUGCUACAUGGAACAGGAUCCAUGGUAGAAAACACACUUUUGCAUCUUAUAGCACCUCUUACUGUGCUUUCUGGCCACUGUGCUGCUGCUGGCUGUGGGUUUGCCACACACCUCCUCCGUUCUAGUGAGGCUUCUGUAACUACUAUGGUCCAGGGUUCUUCUCCAGGAUGAAGAGCUGAAUUUCACCAAGUGCUUUUUUCAACACCUGAGCAAAUAAAUGCAUGGCAGAGUCCACACUGAGCUCUCAGUGGAGUGGAGUACCGAGUAGUCCUCUGAGGUGGUCAACCGGAUAUGUGACGAGCCUCGGGCGGUCAUCUGAGCACAUGAGCACACAAUGCUCGCACAGGAAGUGAUUCAAUUCUGUAUCCUUAUGCGGUCAGGCUGAGCUUGAUGCCAAGUAGAUUAUUACCGCUGUGGCAAGCCCGUGGUCAUCGUCUACUCUUCCAGUACAGGUACGAAAUCAACACUUUGGUCCUGAUACCAGACACUCCGAGUGCCAAGGGCAGGCGAGUGCAGUGAAGACUGUCCACGGAUCGUGUCCACCUUUGCAAGAUAGCAGUGUUUUCUUAGGGGAAGAAUAUGAAGGGAUCUAAAAUAAGAUCCUUGGGCCAUCACUGGAAAGGAAGGCAGAAGCACCCCCCACCACCACCACCAUCAAAGGGUACUUCAAGGGUGCUACAAAGCCAUGUCCUCAGAGCCCCUCAGCGACCACUGGCCUUGAGUGUGUACAAGCUGACGGCAGAGUGAUGGUGUAAAUUGUGUCCAAGUCAUGAACUUACCUUCCGGGAGAGCAAAGGGGGUGCUACCAAAAUCUACACGUGAGCAAGUGGUAUAAAGAGAAGACUGCUAAGAAGGAAGAGACUUUGAGGCUAAGACCCAGGGCAUAAAGAAGAAGUGGCCAUACCCAUGCCCUUUGUGAGCAUUAAAGUAUUACCUAUACUGUA